rnacentral:tRNA from 1 species
AUGUAGAGCCUGAAUAAAGGAUUAUCGUGAUAGGAUAAAAUAUGUAUUAUCAAUUUACCUACAUUA